rnacentral:lncRNA from 1 species
UAGGAGAGGCCACAAGGGUAUCGAGCUGUUGGACAUCACUACUCGUUAGAGCAACGCGUGUCCAAACCACAGUGAGGUAUCGCCUCACGUCCAUCAGGGCGACUGUGAUAUUUUUAAAAAGGAAGAUCAUGAAUGUGGGUGAGGAUGUGGAGAGGUCGGAGCCCAUGUGAGCGGCUGGUGGGUCUCCGAGCUCGUGAAACUGCUGUGGCAACCAGCGUGAGGCUUCCUCAAAAAUUAAAAACAGAACUGCCGCAUGACUCAGCAGCCUCCCUUCUGGGUGUGCGUCCAGUGGAGACGAAACGGGGUCUCGCAGGCAUGUCUGCACACCCCUGCAGUUGACAGCUGUUCACAGCUGCAGGAGCUGGGACCAACCCCAGCGUCCACCAGCCGAUGAAGACGAGCAGAAGGUGGUGUGUACCGUGGCCGUGACUCAGCCUUUAAAAGUUUGGAAAUCUCGCCACAGGCUACGAUCUGGAUGGAUUUCCAACCAUUAUGCCGAGUGAAAUAAGCCAGUCACCAAGAGACAAACCCAGGCUUGGCCCUCUGGCGUUCCCCUGCUGGGGCAGGCGUUGGACAGGGAGGAGUUUCAGUUUUGCAAGAUGAAAAGCUCUGGGAGAUCCGCUUCACAGCGGUGUCCAUGUAUUGAUCCUCACCGAAAUAUAUGCUGAAAAUGCUUAACAGGGUGAAUUUUGUGUUCUGUGUUUU